UACGUAGGUGGCUAGCGUUGUUCGGAAUUACUGGGCGUAAAGCGCACGUAGGCGGACUGUGUAGUCGGGGGUGAAAUCCCGGGGCUCAACCCCGGAACUGCCUCCGAUACUGGCAGUCUGGAGUCCGAGAGAGGUGAGUGGAAUUCCGAGUGUAGAGGUGAAAUUCGUAGAUAUUCGGAGGAACACCAGUGGCGAAGGCGGCUCACUGGCUCGAUACUGACGCUGAGGUGCGAAAGCGUGGGGAGCAAACAGG
rnacentral:misc_RNA from 1 species